UACGUAGGGUGCAAGCGUUGUCCGGAAUUAUUGGGCGUAAAGAGCUCGUAGGCGGUCUGUCGCGUCUGCUGUGAAAACUCAGGGCUUAACCCUGAGCUUGCAGUGGGUACGGGCAGACUAGAGUGCGGUAGGGGAGACUGGAAUUCCUGGUGUAGCGGUGAAAUGCGCAGAUAUCAGGAGGAACACCGAUGGCGAAGGCAGGUCUCUGGGCCACUACUGACGCUGGAGAAAGCGAAAGCAUGGGGAGCGAACAGG
rnacentral:rRNA from 1 species